UGAAAGAUCGGUAGGUUUCCCAGGCUUGGGACCCUGAACAACUAUUAUAGAUGGUUUCUUAUCUUGAUCCUUCUUUCCUCUCUUUUUCUCAAUAUUAGGAACUUCAUUAGGAAUUAGCUCUGCAAUUGCUUUCCAGUAUUGUUUAUCAGCUUCUUUAUGAAACUUCUCCUGAUUUGCCAAGUAUAACUUCUCUCUUUCUCUGUUGUUAACCUUGUUACUCUCAACAUUAAGCUUUCUUUUCUCAUAGAAACUUAUUUUAUACUCCUCAGCUUCUUCAAUAAUUUUGAUUCUCAAUUCUUUCUCCCUUUUCUCCUUCUCUUCAAGCUGAUUGGCAUUUUGGCGACGCCAUUCACGAAGAGCAUAUCCUUCCUCCACGCCCAUCUCGCUGGGAGGGGGAAGAAUUGGGCCAUCGGAUACGAAAACACCAUCGCCGACUUCAUCCUCAGCCGCGCCAUAGCCGUUUCCAUUUCCAUUCUCCACAUGAAUCGGAUCAAAGGGAGUCUGAGAGUAGUUAGGGCUGGGAUCGUCGAAUCCGAAGACAUCCGGCGAGGCAGGAGUAUGCUCAACACUUACAUCGGCGUCCCCGGGGAAGGCGCCGGAGAAAUUGGAGUAGGAUCCGUAACCGCCGUAGCUGUCUUCGCCGUCCAUACUGUAGGCGUCGAAGGUGGACAUUUUAGUGCUCUCCAACACCGCACAGAGAGAGAGAGAUGUGUUGAUGGGUUGGG
rnacentral:misc_RNA from 1 species